rnacentral:rRNA from 1 species
UACGAAGGGGGCUAGCGUUGCUCGGAAUCACUGGGCGUAAAGCGCACGUAGGCGGAUUGUUAAGUCAGGGGUGAAAUCCUGGAGCGCAACUCCAGAACUGCCUUUGAUACUGGCAAUCUCGAGUCCGGGAGAGGUGAGUGGAACUGCGAGUGUAGAGGUGAAAUUCGUAGAUAUUCGCAAGAACACCAGUGGCGAAGGCGGCUCACUGGCCCGGUACUGACGCUGAGGUGCGAAAGCGUGGGGAGCAAACAGG